rnacentral:siRNA from 1 species
UACUUCAGCCUCGUGUGUUGGA